GUGAAUCAUCGAAUCUUUGAACGCAAAUAGCGCGUCCUGGCAGCCCGGGAAGGAUGCCUAUGUGGGGGUCAGUAUUAGUAAAAAUCGGUGUUGUUGCUGCGUUUCGUGGUGACGGGUCGGAAGUGAGUCUUCUUACCUUCGGUUAAGUGACUUAAAAUGUUGCAUUAUGUUCGAACGUAUUUAAAUUUCUUACGUACUUUUGAGAUUUCGAAUACUGUAUGAGGUUCGGUCAUCCUC
rnacentral:misc_RNA from 1 species